UACGAGGGAUGCAAGCGUUAUCCGGAAUUAUUGGACGUAAAGCGUUUGUAGGCGGGCGAGUGUGUUUAAUGUUAAAUCUUAAAGCUCAACUUUGAAAUUGCGUUAAAAACUGCUUGUCUUGAGUAUGGUAGGGGUAAAGGGAAUUCCCAGUGUAGCGGUGAAAUGCGUAGAUAUUGGGAAGAACACUAAACAGCGAAGGCACUUUACUAGGCUAAUACUGACGCUGAGAAACGAAAGGUAAGGUAGCGAAACGGAUUAGAUACCCGUGUAGUCUUACCCGUAAACUAUGGACACUAAACGGUAAAUUUUUAAUUUACUGUUAAAGCUAACGCGUUAAGUGUCCCGCCUGGGGAGUAUGCUUGCAAAAGUGAAACUCAAAGGAAUUGACGGGGGCCCGCACAAGCGGUGGAGCAUGUGGUUUAAUUCGACGGUACACGAAGAACCUUACCAGGAUUUGACAUGCUAGAUAGUUGCUUGAAAGAGUAACGUGCCGUAAGGAAUCUAGACACAGGUGGUGCAUGGCUGUCGUCAGUUCGUGUUGUGAAAUGUUGGGUUAAGUCCCGCAACGAACGCAACCCUUGUCUUUAGUUAUUUUCUAAAGAGACUGCCUGUAAUAAACAGGAGGAAGGUAAGGAUGAGGUCAAGUCAUCAUGCCCCUUAUGUCCUGGGCUACACACGUGCUACAAUGGGAAAGACAAUGAGCUGCAAAUCUGUAAAUUUAAGCAAAUCUCUUAAACCUUCUCGUAGUUCGGAUUGUGGGCUGCAACUCGCCCACAUGAAGUUGGAAUCGCUAGUAAUCGCCAGUCAGCUAUAUGGCGGUGAAUCCGUUCCCGGGCCU
rnacentral:rRNA from 1 species